rnacentral:tRNA from 1 species
AGGGAUGUGGCGCAGCUUGGUAGCGCGUUUGUUUUGGGUAUAAAAGGUCACGGGUUCAAAUCCUGUCAUCCCUA